GAGAAGGCAAGUGGUGAUCACUAAGCAUCUAAAGGAGGACGUGCAGGGAUGAGACUCAUGGACCACAGCGUGCUGAAAUGUUGCCUCUUCUCUCUACUCUUGCUAACAGUGUCUGCAGCAGACCCUCCAUCCAAUGCAGCCAUUUUAGCUAGUGAAAUGACUCCAGGCAAAGCACC